AUUUCCAACACGCUACCUCUUUUCUCAUAAAAAAACUUUUCAGUAUCCAAAAGAUCUUUCCCUUUCCCAAUUAACGUCUUCUCCUCUCUUUUCUCAUUAAAAACUUUAGACUUUUCAGCAUCCAAAAGAUCUUUCCCUUUCCCAACGUGUUCUCCUCUCUCUUUUCUCAUAAAAAAACUUUUCAGCAUCCAAAAGCUCUCUUCAAUAUAUUAUUUCCAGUUUUUCUCUCAUCCCUCUUUUAUCUUUGUCUUUGAAUUGAUCUAUCCAUCCAAAGAAAGAUUUGUAGAUUUCUUUCUUCUACACUACACGAUUUCUGUACAGAAGAAAGACCCUGAAAGAUUAUCUGAGUGAGGAUGAGAUGUGCAAUAUAGAUCAAUUGAAGUUAAAGCUCUGCAAGAUUCAA